rnacentral:rRNA from 1 species
AAAGANAGGCGAUGCCGCGAGGCGGAGCAAAUCUCCAAAAGCCGUCCCAGUUCGGAUUGCAGGCUGCAACCCGCCUGCAUGAAGUUGGAAUCGCUAGUAAUCGCGGAUCAGCAUGCCGCGGUGAAUACGUUCCCGGGCCUUGUACACACCGCCCGUCACACCAUGAGAGUCGGGAACACCCGAAGUCCGUAGCCUAACCGCAAGGGGGGCGCGGCCGAAGGUGGGUUCGAUAAUUGGGGUGAAGUCGUAACAAGGUAUC